GAUGAACGCUGGCGGUAUGCUUAACACAUGCAAGUCGAACGGAAUGCUUCGGCAUUUAGUGGCGGACGGGUGAGUAACGCGUGAGAACAUGCCUUUAGAUUGGGGACAACAGUUGGAAACGACUGCUAAUACCGAAUAUGCCUUUAUUGGUGAAAGAUUAAUUGUCUAAAGAUUGGCUCGCGUCAGAUUAGCUAGUUGGAGUGGUAACGGCACCCCAAGGCGACGAUCUGUACUUGGUCUGAGAGGAUGACCAGGCACACUGGAACUGAGACACGGUCCAGACUCCUACGGGAGGCAGCAGUGGGGGAAUUUUCCGCAAUGGGCGCAAGCCUGACGGAGCAAUACCGCGUGAGGGAGGACGGCUUUUUGGGUUGUAAAACCCUCUUUUUAAUCAGGGAAGAAAAGAUGACGGUACCUGAUGAAUCAGCAUCGGCUAACUCCGUGCCAGCAGCCGCGGUAAU
rnacentral:rRNA from 1 species